AGAGUUUGAUCAUGGCUCAGGAUGAACGCUGGCGGUAUGCUUAACACAUGCAAGUCGAACGGUCUCUUCGGAGAUAGUGGCGGACGGGUGAGUAACGCGUGAGAAUCUGUCUUCAGGUCGGGGACAACCACUGGAAACGGUGGCUAAUACCGGAUGUGCCGGAAGGUGAAAGGCUUGCUGCCUGAAGAUGAGCUCGCGUCUGAUUAGCUAGUUGGUAGAGUAAGAGCCUACCAAGGCGACGAUCAGUAGCUGGUCUGAGAGGAUGAUCAGCCACACUGGGACUGAGACACGGCCCAGACUCCUACGGGAGGCAGCAGUGAGGAAUUUUCCGCAAUGGGCGAAAGCCUGACGGAGCAAUACCGCGUGAGGGAGGAAGGCUCUUGGGUUGUAAACCUCUUUUCUCAGGGAAUAAAAAAAUGAAGGUACCUGAGGAAUAAGCAUCGGCUAACUCCGUGCCAGCAGCCGCGGUAAUACGGAGGAUGCAAGCGUUAUCCGGAAUGAUUGGGCGUAAAGCGUCCGCAGGUGGCAAUGUAAGUCUGCUGUUAAAGAGUGAGGCUCAACCUCAUAAAAGCAGUGGAAACUACAUAGCUAGAGUACGUUCGGGGCAGAGGGAAUUCCUGGUGUAGCGGUGAAAUGCGUAGAGAUCAGAAGAACACCGGUGGCGAAAGCGCUCUGCUAGGCCUGUACUGACACUGAGGGACGAAAGCUAGGGGAGCGAAUGGGAUUAGAUACCCCAGUAGUCCUAGCCGUAAACGAUGGAUACUAGGCGUGGCUUGUAUCGACCCGAGCCGUGCCGGAGCUAACGCGUUAAGUAUCCCGCCU
rnacentral:rRNA from 1 species